CCCCCCUCCCAUUCUCUCUGUCUGUGCAGCUCUGGGCCUCAGUCUGCUCGCUGUAUUCAGGCCGUGCCAGCUGGCCAGGACCCCAGCUCAGCUCAGCUCCCAGCCUGGGGGCAUCACGGUGACGCACUGGUUACUGGGCUGCCUCGCAGAGCUGCAGCCCUGGGUUCAACUCCAGACCUGGGGUGCUGUCCAGGUGGAGUUCGCACGGCCCCCCUGCGUUUGCGUGGGUCUCCCCCAGGUGCUCCGGUUUCCUCCCACCCUCCGGAGACAGAGGGGUAGGUUUACUGGCUCCUGGGAAAAUCGCCCCUGGCGUGAGAGUGUCAGUCUGCCCUGCGAUGGACAGGCGGUCCUGUCCAGGGUGUACCCUGCCUUGCGCCCAUUGCUUGCUGGGAUAGAGUCCGGCUCCUCCGUGGCGCUGUACUGAAUUAGGAAACGGCUGGACAGAUUGUCUACGCGGGGGCGCAGCGGCUCGGGGGCACUGAGCGCCAUUGGAAGGGGGGAGGGGAAGCCUGGGACGCCAUCGUCUGGGCGCUCGCGGGACUGGCGGCAGGACAGCCGCAGGGCGAACAGGGACGGGGGGGGGGACCGCGGGCUGCGAGGAGCCUUGGGGCAGGGAGGUGCUCCGACACGCAAGGAGCUCCAAGGAGCUCCAAGGAGCCGCGCGCGACCGGAAUGCAGAGCCACCCCGGCAGGCGGCAUACCAGUCAGUUCAGCGCCGCGGUGCCAAGUCCCGACACCCUCCUCCAGAGCCCGUGGCCCUUCCCUCGUGGUCGGGCACUGCUGGUGAAGCAGGUCGAGCUGCUGCUCUGAACUUGCGCUCUUGAUCGCUGUGGCCGCGGCUAAAUGUUACCGCAGCACCUUUCUGAAUUCCACGGGGCAACCUGGAACGUAAACGCGGGGGGAAUUCUC
rnacentral:lncRNA from 1 species